rnacentral:rRNA from 1 species
CAAUAGCGUAUAUUAAAGUUGUUGCGGUUAAAAAGCUCGUAGUUGAAUUUUUGCUUGCCGCCGAUGUCGGAACUUCCGUACGUUCGGCGGCGUGCAUCCUUGGGUGGAACCUGUGUGGCAUUAGGUUGUCGUGCAGGGGAUGCUCAUCGUUUACUGUGAAAAAAUUAGAGUGUUCAAAGCAGGCUUACGCCGUUGAAUAUAUUAGCAUGGAAUAAUAAGAUAGGACCUUGGUACUAUUUUGUUGGUUUGCGCACCGAGGUAAUGAUUAACAGGGACAGUUGGGGGUAUUCGUAUUCCAUUGUCAGAGGUGAAAUUCUUGGAUUUCUGGAAGACGAACUACUGCGAAAGCAUUUACCAAGGAUGUUUNCAUUA